UACGUAGGGUGCAAGCGUUGUCCGGAAUUAUUGGGCGUAAAGAGCUCGUAGGCGGUCUGUCGCGUCUGCUGUGAAAACUCAGGGCUUAACCCUGAGCUUGCAGUGGGUACGGGCAGACUAGAGUGCGGUAGGGGAGACUGGAAUUCCUGGUGUAGCGGUGAAAUGCGCAGAUAUCAGGAGGAACACCGGUGGCGAAGGCGGGUCUCUGGGCCGUAACUGACACUGGAGGCAACGAAAGCCUAGGGGAGCAAACAGG
rnacentral:rRNA from 1 species